GUAGAGGAUGUUUCGGGACUCGGCGCCGGCGUAAGUCCCUUGGAACGGGGCGUCAUAGAGGGUGAGAAUCCCGUAUGUGCCCGGUGACCAAGCCCGUGUGAAAAUCCUUCGACGAGUCGAGUUGUUUGGGAAUGCAGCUCAAAAUGGGUGGUAAAUUUCAUCUAAAGCUAAAUAUUGGCCAGAGACCGAUAGCGCACAAGUAGAGUGAUCGAAAGAUGAAAAGCACUUUGGAAAGAGAGUCAAACAGUACGUGAAAUUGUUGAAAGGGAAGCGCUUGCAACCAGACCUGCCCGCGGGCGAUCAGCCGUCCCUCUGGGGCGGUGUACGCGCUCGUGAACAGGCCAGCAUCGGUUCGGGCGGCCGGACAAAGGCCCUGGGAACGUAACUCCCCUCGGGGAGUGUUAUAGCCCUCGGUGUAACGCGGCCAGCCGGGACCGAGGACCGCGCUUCGGCUAGGAUGCUGGCGUAAUGGUUGUAAGCGGCCCGUCUUGAAACACGGACCAAGGAGUCUAACAUCUAUGCGAGUGUUUGGGCGUGAAACCCAGGCGCGCAAUGAAAGUGAACGGAGGUGGGAACCCCUCGAGGGCGCACCAUCGACCGAUCCUGAUGUCUUCGGAUGGAUUUGAGUACGAGCAUAGCUGUUGGGACCCGAAAGAUGGUGAACUAUGCCUGAAUAGGGUGAAGCCAGAGGAAACUCUGGUGGAGGCUCGCAGCGGUUCUGACGUGCAAAUCGAUCGUCAAAUUUGGGUAUAGGGGCGAAAGACUAAUCGAACCAU
rnacentral:rRNA from 1 species